GGCCCGGGAUGAGCACUGGCAUGUAUUAUCUGAGCAGAGCUGAUGUCUCUGAACACUUUAGCUCUAGAAUUACUCUGAGGCCCG